rnacentral:rRNA from 1 species
AGGACGAACGCUGGCGGCGUGCUUAACACAUGCAAGUCGAGCGGAAAGGCCCUUCGGGGUACUCGAGCAGCGAACGGGUGAGUAACACGUGAGCAACCUGCCCUUAGCUCCGGGAUAGCUCCGGGAAACCGGAAUUAAUACCGGAUACGACCACGGCCGACAUCUGCUGUGGUGGAAAGGAUUCCGGCUAAGGAUGGGCUCGCGGCCUAUCAGCUAGUUGGUGGAGUAACGGCCCACAAGGCGACG